UGUCUUCACCUACAGGAAAGCCUAUCAAACCAUCCUUCAUUCUGUCACUGGAAGCAUUUGACUCUUACGUGCAGUUCUUGAAAGUUCUCUGUAAUUGGUGAUCCUGGAAUUUCUCAUUCCAGCUGAUUAAACAGAAACUUGGAAGCUUUAUUUUUAACAAAAGAGCUUUGUUUCAGAUGCAGCCUGUUCUGAACUAGCUGAAGUUGCUGUUUCUUUUUGGCUGCUGCCCACUGACUGGCUUUCCUCUCUGUGCAGGGUAUCUCAUGAUUUAGUGUCUUUUUGAUCAGCGGGGCCCAGAUCUGGAAAAUGUGCCUGUUAACCUGGCUGGAGCCAGGUAGAUGAAUAGGGACUACAUAAAUGAAACCUCAUGGAAUCCAGCCUGCAUUUGCACUGUGGGGGUUGCUGCCAUGUUACAGUGCCCACCCUGUGGCAGCUAGGUCCCUGAUUGGACAUGGCUUUGCCAGCAGAAGAAAUGUUUUGUUGCUUGACCCACAGCAGCUCCUAUGAAUGACAGAAUCACUGCUGCAGGACCUAACUUCUACUGGCAAAGCUGUCUACACUACACUAGGUUUUACCAGUAGCACCACCUUAUCUACAGAGUGUGAUCGUCAUAUGGCCUUUGCCAUACUGGCAGUCUUGCAAUGUAGGCUAUGUUGUGAAACAAAGAAGGAAGCAGACAUGUGGGUGUUACAUAUUAUGAUUGGAAGAUGAAUGCUGCAGACAUGGAUUGGAGAACACAGUUCCAGCUCUU